rnacentral:tRNA from 2 species
GCCUCUGUAGCUCAAUGGAAGAGCAGUUCCGUCCUAAGGAAAGGGUUGGGGGUUCGACUCCCUCCAGGGGUA